CCCAGCUUAUGUGACCAACGAGAGACACAUCAAAGACGCAAAAAACAACACACAAUCGAUCAAAUAUAUUUAUUUCUACAAUGUCAAUGUACGAAUGAUAUAAAAUCGAUAAACGAUGAUGAUGGUUCUAAAUAAACAAUAAAGGUUCAUCACAAUCUAUACUUAUCCCAAGCAAAAAAGUCAUAAAUCAAAUGUUUUACCUCGUAUUUAGGCCACUUCCACGUACAAAAAACUACAAACUAUAUAUUGUAUAUGACCAAGCACAUGGAAUAAACAACUGCCCCUAACUCAUCCGGGCACUUACAUAAAUUAUCAUAAAUUACCGUCUCGAUCCUAUAUACCAGCC